GUGCUGAGCUUAUCCCCAGAUCCCUGACUUCCUCCAUCAGGGACUCCAGGAACUGUUUGGAAACAGACAUUUAUUGAAGAGAGACAUUUCUGAACCUAAGCAGGAAAAAAGACAGGGACAACACAUCUGGAGUGACUCCUGCUCUGCUUCUUUCCACUCUGCCCAGGGGAGUCAGGAUGAAAUCCCCGUGCUGGGGAAGGGAGCAGUGGUUUUCAUGCCCACAAAUCCACUUUGCACUGGUGGUGCUGGCUGGGGUUAAAGCCUGACAAACUUCAGGCUCAUAAAAAGAGGCUGACAAAGCAAAGCAGAGAAAAGAAAAGCUUUCAAGACUUUCAAGCGAGAAACAAAGCAGCACUGUAGAAAAAUGCCUGGCUCUCCAUUUGCCUGGAAUCCCCAAGGCUGCUCUGCACUGGCAGCCUGCAUGGCAAUGCCUGAUUAGCUUGCACUCUGUGUCCUCACUGUGCUGCAGGAGAGAAGGACAGGGCUGGCAGGGUUUGCAGCAGCUCCAAAAGUCCCAGCACUGCUGCAGUGAAGACCUGCCUGCAUUUUGUAGCAUUUCUUCCCAGAGAGAACAAGAUCUGCCUGAUGGAUGGGUGAAUGCAGAGACCCAGAAACAGGGAACUCAUAACUUGGAUGGCAACUUUUGUAUGGAAUGAGCUGAAUUUAAGUCUCCGCCAGAGCAGCUUUCAGAUCUUUGUUCUCAUCCAGCUGGAUCCCAAGCCUGCAAGGAAACAAAAAGAAAAACUUCCCUGUGAGCUGGGGAGCUUCAAAAGCAAAUUUAGAACUGUCACCUCUGCUCCGGGGAAGAAACACUGAAACCCUGGAGCUGCGGUGAUUUUAUGAGAGCCCUGAGAAAAAGGCUGAGCACUUGUUCCUCCUCUCCCUGAGGGAGGAAAGAACAAUCCCGGCAUGGAGAGAGGGAGAACAAACCUUGUGCUGAGCUCCUCCACCUGAGAUUCCAGGGACAGCUUGGACAGGGCUGCAGGGAGCUCCUCUCUGUCACCCUCAUGCAAGGGGAGGCUUGGCUGGGCUGUGGAUUCAAUCACAGAAUGGAGUUUGGGUAAAACAGCAAAUCAGUUUUGGCAGAACGCUGAGUUAAUAUCAAAAAACGCUGAAUAAAUAUUCUGUAAAAUCAUAUACUUAAUCUCUCAAAUAAAUAUUUAAUCUCCUAAAUUCUAUGCUACAUCCAUAACAUAUCAUAAAUAUAUGACAGGCUUAUUUUAAUUACCUUCCAUGCUGAAUUUUCAUUUCAGGGCUAAAUAUGUGCCUAACGUGUAGGGAGGAAAACAAUGAAUCUGUAACAUUGAAGUGACAAAAAAAAGAGGUGUAAAACAGCUGGAAAUUAUUAAUUUGAUGUUAAUUUUGUAAGAGUGUUUCAGAUUAUGACAGCUGCUGCUUCCUGAAUGUCUGGGACAAAGCUUGCUUGUGACACCCAUUGAAGUGAUUUUUGUAAAGAACUUUGAUCCUCAGCAUAAACAAAAUGUAGAUUCUGUACUUCAAGGUGUAUUUCAGACCAAGGUUCUAACUUAGAACCUUAGCUUUCCUAAAUAAAGCUAUAUCCAAAACAUGCAGGUCUGGUCAUUCAAAAAAAAAAAUAAAAUUCAGAAUUUUCAGUGUUAUAGAGAAAAUACAAUUCAAAUUUACAGCUGGAACUGAAGAAGCAAAACCUGUGACCAGUGAAUCCCCAGAGAAGAAGGGGAACCAGAGAAGUGUUCAGGGAGCUCAGAAAGGAGUGCAGGAAGUGAGCACAGCUAUUGCAGAGGAUGCUGAAUUUAACCCAGCACUGAGGUUAAAUUCAGUUAAACACACCAGGGUGAUCUCUGCUGUAGAUAGAAGGCUAAAUAAUUUUAGCAAAUGUAAAUAAAUGGCUAAAUAUCUAAAAUAAUCAAUAGUCAGCACUACCUACCUGUAGCUAGGUAUCAUGAGAUAAGGACUUGUGUGGUUCAGCCCCAAAUAAAUUAUAAAAAUCAAAAAAAAUAACUAAAUGAAGAAAACAAGAGGCUGGAGCUGGCUGCAGUUCUUUUAACUGGGAAUACAGCACCAUGACAGUGAACAGCCAGGCUGCUUUCUGUGUUGUGAUUCUACUGAACCCUGCAAUUGCUGGUUUGUGCUUGUGUUGCCAUGUUGGCACAUUUCUGUAUCCCUUUUCCCAAUUCAUAUCCCUCAUAACAUCAAAUAUCUUCAAAUAAGUACAUUUGGUAUUAAAACACUAAAUCCUC